rnacentral:rRNA from 1 species
UACGAGGGGGGCGAGCGUUGUUCGGAAUUAUUGGGCGUAAAGGGUACGUAGGCGGCCUGACAAGUCUGAUGUGAAAUCCCUGGGCUCAACCCAGGGCCUGCAUCGGAAACUGUCGGGCUUGAGUAUGGGAGAGGUGAGUGGAAUUUCCGGUGUAGCGGUGAAAUGCGUAGAUAUCGGAAGGAACACCUGUGGCGAAAGCGGCUCACUGGACCAUUACUGACGCUGAGGCACGAAAGCUAGGGGAGCAAACAGG